ACCGUUACCAAGAAGGCCCUCAGCUUGACGGACAGCGACUUCGCCGUGACGGACGUCAACGGCAACGUGGUGCUUAAGGUGAAGGGCGUCUUCUUCAGCCUCCGCGAUCGGUGCGUCCUCCUAGACGCCGCGGGAAAUCCUCUCCUCACCCUGCAACAGAAGGUCAAACCUUUACCCUUUCUUCCCAGCAACACUGGUAUGCGGUCGCAAUUCUUCUGUGGCUGCUCGACAAGCGCCCUCGAUAGAUUUCAAGUUUCGCUGAAUUCUGUAGAAAUCAGCUUUUGCUUGUUGUUGUGAUUCACUUGUCGCGGAGUAGUGCUUCGGAAAGCAAAGCGGUGGUGAUGAUAAUUACUAUGAUGGCCUCUCAGAUUUUGAGUGCGCACCGAAGAUGGCAAGUGUUCAGAGGAGAGAGCACAGAUUCGAAAGACCUGCUGUUCAGCGUCAAGAAGUCCAGGCUGCUGCAAUUUAAGACCGAGUUACAUGUGAUCAUGGCUUCCAACACCAACGAGGAGGCGUGUGAUUUCAAGAUCAAGGGGAGUUACUUUGAGAGGUCAUGCACUGUUUAU
rnacentral:lncRNA from 1 species